UACAGAGGUCUCAAGCGUUGUUCGGAUUCAUUGGGCGUAAAGAGCGUGUAGGCGGCCACACAGGUCAGCUGUGAAAACUCGAGGCUCAACCUCGAGACGUCGGUUGAAACCGUAUGGCUAGAGUCCGGAAGAGGAGAGUGGAAUUCCCGGUGUAGCGGUGAAAUGCGCAGAUAUCGGGAAGAACACCGGUGGCGAAGGCGGCUCUCUGGACGGAUACUGACGCUGAGGCGCGAAAGCGUGGGGAUCAAACAGG
rnacentral:rRNA from 1 species